rnacentral:misc_RNA from 1 species
GGAGCCUGCAAACUCAAAAUGGAGGUUGUUCCAAUUUCUUCCGUUCUUUCAUUACUCCUCAUCCUUGUUCUCUUGCCUUCCUCUAUACUUUCAUUUCCAAUUCGUGAUAAUUUUCUCCAAUGUCUCACUGCCAAUUCUAAAACUGUCAUUCCUUUCCCCACUUGCUUUUACAGUCCAGACAAUUCUUCUUUCUCUUCCAUUUUACAGUCUUCCGCUCAAAAUCUCAGGUACUUGUUGCCUUCCGUACCAAAGCCUGAAUUUAUCUUCACACCCUUUCAUGAAACCCACAUCCAAGCUGCUGUUAUCUGCUCAAAAAAGCUUGGAAUUAAUCUCAGAGUCCGAAGUGGAGGCCAUGACUAUGAGGGUCUCUCUUACGCUUCUGAAAUUGAAACACCUUUUAUCGUUGUAGACCUUUCAAAGCUUCGUUCUAUUAAUGUUGAUAUUGAAGAUAACAGCGCAUGGGUUCAGGCUGGUGCCACAAUUGGUGAAGCUUACUAUAGAAUUGCUGAAAAAAGCAAUAUUCAUGGCUUCCCGGCUGGUCUUUGCUCCAGUUUAGGGAUUGGUGGGCACAUUACAGGGGGUGCUUAUGGUUCCAUGAUGAGAAAGUACGGCCUUGGUGCUGAUAAUGUCAUCGAUGCUUGUAUAGUCGAUGCCAAUGGCAACGUUCUUGAUCGACAAGCCAUGGGAGAAGAUCUUUUUUGGGCUAUUAGAGGAGGUGGAGGAGCUAGUUUUGGAAUCAUUGUUUCUUGGAAACUAAAAUUGGUUCCGGUGCCAGCAACUGUGACAGUUUUUACAGUUACUAAGACCUUGGAAGAAGGUGCCACUAAAAUCCUUUACCGGUGGCAGCAAGUGGCAGAUAAACUCGAUGAGGAUCUCUUCAUCAGAGUCAUCAUACAACCGGAUACAAUCGGUAACACUACUGCGAGAACUGUAACAACUUCCUACAAUGCCCUGUUUCUUGGAGAUGCAAACAGACUCCUCCAAGUAAUGCAAAACAGCUUCCCCGAAUUGGGUUUGACAAGAAAUGAUUGCACAGAAACAAGCUGGAUCAAAUCAGUGCUAUACAUCGCUGGCUACCCAAGCAAUACACCUCCAGAAGUUUUACUUCAGGGGAAGUCUCUAUUCAAGAACUACUUCAAGGCCAAAUCAGAUUUUGUCAAAGAACCCAUUCCUGAAACAGGACUGGAGGGCCUCUGGAAAAGGUUAUUAGAAGAGGAAAGUCCAUUGAUGAUAUGGAAUCCUUAUGGUGGAAUGAUGAGCAAAAUUUCAGAAUCUGAAAUUCCUUUCCCUCACAGAAAGGGCAACUUAUUCAAGAUCCAGUACUUGUCUAACUGGGAAGAUGGAGAAAAGAGUGCUGCGAAGCAUAUGGAUUGGAUUAGGAAGCUUUACAACUACAUGACACCAUAUGUUUCCAUGUUUCCAAGAACUGCAUAUGUGAAUUACAGGGACCUUGAUUUGGGGAUGAACAAGAAGACAAACACUAGCUUUAUAGAAGCCAGUGCUUGGGGCAACAAGUACUUCAAGGACAAUUUCAACAGAUUGGUAAAAGUGAAGACCAAAGUUGAUCCCGAUAACUUUUUCAGGCAUGAACAGAGCAUCCCACCUCUUCCAGUUUCCGUUGGAAGAAAAAGAAGAGGAAGAAGAGGAGGAAAAUGAUGUAAAAUUUGAGGCAGAUCCAGCAUUGCCGAAGAUUGUCCGAAUGGCUAAUCUAUGCAUUGUUGGAGGAUAUGCAGU